GACAGAGGGUGCAAACGUUGUUCGGAAUUACUGGGCGUAAAGCGCGUGUAGGCGGCUAAGUAAGUCGGGCGUGAAAUCCCACGGCUCAACCGUGGAAGUGCACUCGAAACUGCAUAGCUAGAGUCCUGGAGAGGAAGGUGGAAUGCUUGGUGUAGAGGUGAAAUUCGUAGAUAUCAAGCGGAACACCGGUGGCGAAGGCGGCCUUCUGGACAGUGACUGACGCUGAGACGCGAAAGCGUGGGGAGCGAACAG
rnacentral:rRNA from 1 species